rnacentral:hammerhead_ribozyme from 1 species
AUCCAACUAACGAGUCCCAAAUGCGACGAAACGCGUGUUCUGGAU